UGGGAAACUAAACAUGAUGUAACGUGUGCGCCCGCAUUCACGUGUAGUGUAGUCUUCCAUAACCAUGGCAGGGAGUGUGAGGAGACCGGAGCAGACUGGACCCGCAGAACUGUUUUACAAUGAAGCUGAAGCAAGAAAAUACACCCACAACUCCCGUAUUAUAGAGAUUCAGUCACAGAUGUCUGAGCGUGCUGUGGAGCUGCUGUGCUUACCUGAGGAUCAGCCCUGCUAUCUUCUGGAUGUCGGCUGUGGCUCUGGGCUGAGUGGAGACUACAUAUCUGAGCAGGGGCAUCACUGGGUUGGAAUUGACAUCAGCACAGCCAUGUUGGAUGUGGCAGUAGAGCGGGAAGUAGAGGGGGACUUGAUCCAUGGGGAUAUGGGGCAGGGUAUUCCAUUCCGACCUGGAACAUUUGACGGGUGCAUCAGUAUUUCUGCUCUGCAGUGGCUCUGUAAUGCCGAUAAGAAGACACACAAUCCUCCGCGACGGCUCUUUCGCUUCUUCUCUACUCUUUACUCUGCACUGGCCCGGGGUGCUCGUGCAGUCCUGCAGUUGUAUCCUGAGAAUGGAGAGCAGCUAGAACUAGUAACUGCUCAGGCGAUGAGAGCUGGAUUUACUGGUGGCAUGAUAGUGGACUAUCCUAACAGCAGCAAGGCUAAAAAGUUUUUCUUGUGCUUGUUUGCUGGUGUAUCUGGAGUGUUGCCUAAGGGUCUGGGAGAAGAGUCCGCAGGACAAGUAUCAAGACCUCAGGCAAUAUUUACAAAUGAAAGGUUACGAUUUAAAAACGUCCGAGGGAAAUCGGUGAAGAAAAGCAGAGACUGGGUACUGGAGAAGAAAGAACGACGUAGACGACAAGGAAAGGAAGUCCGUCCAGAUACAAAGUUUAGUGGACGCAAGAGAAGACCUCAUUUUUAGCGCCCAUUCAGUGACUCUCUUCCUUGUGGGAAGACUUUGCAAUGUGCUGCAUACGAUAGACUGUACGUUGUCUCUAUUCUAUGGAGUUGAAGUGCCUUCGAUAAAGUUAUCUUGGACACCUCCCUGCAAAUCAAAUGUCAAGCUAAACUAUAGACAACUAGUGUAUUGAUUAAACUUUUAUAGGCCACUGUCUUACAGUGCAUCACUUACGUUACUGUGGGUUGUCAGGUAAGAAAAGAUAUGGACUGGCCGGUGUCAGGACAGGAGAGUUCAGACUGCUAGGAUGAAAAUAUUAACGGCUGUGCAAGUUUGUUGGAUUUCAGGUUUCAUCAAUAUAAUGGAGGUUGUGGACCUCUGAUCUAAAUUCUAUGUUUUAUUGGAUAUGUCAGUUCAUUUUAAUGUUUUACUGCAUUCUUUUAUUUAUGACUUUUUAGUAUACAUGAAAUUUUUUCCAUAUUACAAUAGCCUUCUUUGCAAGUUUCUAGUCUCCAAAACAUUUGAGGAUCCAGAGGUGUAUCCCCUAGCACACUGGUUGGGAAACACUGCCCUAGUAUACAAAAAUUAGGAACAGUUGGAAUGUUAGUUUUAAAGGGGUUGUACACUUUUGUGUGUGUUGGGGGGGUGGGGGUUUGUUUCGUUGGUGCUCCGCUCCUUUUCUCCCUAUCCUCAGCUGCUUCACUGCACCUCCUGGAAGUAAACAUAAAUUUUGACACCGCUGCCAGUCGCAGUGGUGACCUUCUCCUCUUGUAUGAUGUGGGCAUUUAACACGACGCAAGGGGAUCAGGCCACUCCUGCGGCCAGCGAUUGGCUUCAGCGGCGUCAAAACGGAAGUUUACAUCCUACGAGCGCAGCGGGGAGAGAAGAAGCCGGAAGCCAGCAUCAGGAAGCAGGUAGGUUUGCUUCCCUUUGCUUGUCUGCCCAAGGUGGGGGGUUGCUUUGUUAGCCCCCUCCCCAAAGGAGCACAACCCCUUUGCAAGAAAAAGUGAACCCUUUGUAAUGACCUGGAUUUCUGCAUUGAUUACCAAGAAAAUGAGGUCUGUUAUCUAAGUCACAAUUAUAGACUAAUGCAAUCUAACUAAACCAAUAACAUACAA